rnacentral:rRNA from 1 species
GAUGAACGCUGGCGGCGUGCCUAAUACAUGCAAGUCGAGCGAACAGACGAGGAGCUUGCUCCUCUGACGUUAGCGGCGGACGGGUGAGUAACACGUGGAUAACCUACCUAUAAGACUGGGAUAACUUCGGGAAACCGGAGCUAAUACCGGAUAAUAUAUUGAACCGCAUGGUUCAAUAGUGAAAGACGGUUUUGCUGUCACUUAUAGAUGGAUCCGCGCCGCAUUAGCUAGUUGGUAAGGUAACGGCUUACCAAGGCGACGAUGCGUAGCCGACCUGAGAGGGUGAUCGGCCACACUAGAACUGAGACACGGUCCAGACUCCUACGGGAGGCAGCAGUAGGGAAUCUUCCGCAAAGGGCGAAAGCCUGACGGAGCAACGCCGCGUGAGUGAUGAAGGUCUUCGGAUCGUAAAACUCUGUUAUUAGGGAAGAACAAAUGUGUAAGUAACUAUGCACGUCUUGACGGUACCUAAUCAGAAAGCCACGGCUAACUACGUG